GGUAAGAAGGUAAUGAGUACUUUUUGUAUUUUGCUCUUACAUUGCUUUUCUGCAUAUAGAGGAGAAGAUGAAAGAAAUUUUGUUGGCAGAAAUGGGUGAAAAACCUUUUGAGAAUCUGAAAAACAAGCAUAUAGAUACAUAUGUACAUAUGUACAUAUGCAUAUUUCUCUUUUUUGGUCUCAGAAGAACAGUUCAUUACUUAGCAAAUUGUUCAGUGCAUAUGAAUACUAGCAAUAUCAGCUUUAAAAACAAAAACCAUAAAGUUCGGAACAUUAAAAUAAACAACAUGAUCCUUACACGACAAACUAGGAUCACUCCUCUUCCUGGCAAGAGCAUCCGCACAGCGAUUUCCUUCAUGAAACACAUGCAUUAAUGGCUAUUCUGGAAGGAAUCCAGCAUUUGUAUAUAUGCAUAUUACUUAAUAAAUGCAUCUACUUACAUAUCUUUUUUCCCUCUUUGUUUCUUUGUUUGGCCUUGUCAUUUGUAGUGAAGAACUUCCCGGGAAUUGUAAUAGCAGAGGAGGCUG
rnacentral:lncRNA from 1 species